rnacentral:snRNA from 1 species
GGAUGUUAGGGUGAUGUGGCUAUGAGGCAAUAUCACCCCAUUGGUCACCAGGGCUUAUUUGGCUGAUCUGGAUGGCUAGCCAGGAGUCCCCUUCCUCUCUCACUGCUCCAUGUGUAUCCCUCCUGAAGUUGCAUGCCUGGUCAAAGAUAACCUUCCCUGAGUAGAAACAGACUUUUCUUUGGUGGAGGGUAUCAAAUAGCUGGCUAAAACCUCCAAACAAACUUUUUGGAUUUGAAGCUUAUACAAAGAACAGCCAAAACUAAUAAAUAUGUUUU